UAACGCGUGGGUAAUCUGCCCUUAGGUUUGGGAUAACCCCGGGAAACCGGAGCUAAUACCGAAUAAGACCACGAUGACCUCGGUUGACGUGAGAAAAGAUGGCCUCUUCUUGAAAGCUAUCGCCAAAGGAUGAGCCCGCGUUUGAUUAGCUUGUUGGUGAGGUAAAGGCUCACCAAGGCUCCGAUCAAUAGCUGGUCUGAGAGGAUGAUCAGCCACACUGGAACUGAGACACGGUCCAGACUCCUACGGGAGGCAGCAGUCGGGAAUAUUGGGCAAUGGGCGAAAGCCUGACCCAGCAACGCCGCGUGAAGGAUGAAGGCCUUCGGGUCGUAAACUUCUGUCGAGAGGGAAGAAAGCGUGCGGGUGAAUAAUCCGUACGUCUGACGGUACCUCCAAAGGAAGCACCGGCUAACUCCGUGCCAGCAGCCGCGGUAAUACGGAGGGUGCAAGCGUUGUUCGGAAUUAUUGGGCGUAAAGCGAGUGUAGGCGGUUUGGCAAGUCGGAUGUGAAAGCCCAGGGCCCAACCCUGGAAUUGCAUCCGAUACUGUCAGGCUAGAGUCCCGGAGAGGGUGGCGGAAUUCCCGGUGUAGGGGUGAAAUCCGUAGAUAUCGGGAGGAACACCAGUGGCGAAGGCGGCCACCUGGACGGUGACUGACGCUGAGACUCGAAAGCGUGGGUAGCAAACAGGAUUAGAUACCCUGGUAGUCCACGCCGUAAACGGUGAGUGCUCGUCGUCGUGGGUAUUGACCCCUGCGGUGACCAAGUUAACGCAUGAAGCACUCCGCCUGGGAAGUACGGUCGCAAGACUAAAACUCAAAGAAAUUGACGGGGGCCCGCACAAGCGGUGGAGCAUGUUGUUUAAUUCGAAGCAACGCGCAGAACCUUACCUGGAUUUGACAUCCUCGGAAUCUCUCUGAAAGGAGAGAGUGCCUUCGGGAGCCGAGAGACAGGUGCUGCAUGGCUGUCGUCAGCUCGUGUCGUGAGGUGUUGGGUUAAGUCCCGCAACGAGCGCAACCCCUAUCGUUAGUUGCUAGCAGUUCGGCUGAGCACUCUAGCGAGACUGCCGGUGUUAAACCGGAGGAAGGUGGGGAUGACGUCAAGUCCUCAUGGCCUUUAUGUCCAGGGCUACUAACGUGCUACAAUGGUCGGUACAGACGGUCGCGAACCCGCGAGGGCAAGCCAAUCCUAAAAAGCCGGCCUCAGU
rnacentral:rRNA from 1 species